rnacentral:rRNA from 1 species
AUGUCGGAGAGGUAUCUCUGGGCCCACUCGAUACCUGUCCUGCGCCUCCUAGGUCCCAACAAGAAGAGGUUCACCAGCGCGGAGGAUUUUGACAAGUUCAUGAACCAUCUCAUCUCCCUCCGUGGCCAUUUACCUCUUGUCAGCUGCGAGAUCCAAGCCUAUCCAACCAAUGAUGAUUAUGCUGGUGAACCUGAUGAACCCUUGCCAAACAUAUACUUUGAUUCGUGGAUCCAAUAUGCUCUAUUGUGCAAGGUUCAGGUGCUCAAAAUCAUCGGUGAUGAUGUGGGAGCGGAAACUGAGCUCAUCGUGCCUCUCAUCUCCCAGCACCUGAGGAGCCUGGAAGUUCAUCAUGUUCUGGUGGAAAAGGAUUUUGUUGAUUUCUCAAGCUGUCCAAUGUUAGAAGAACUGAAGAUGCAGCACUGUGGCCUUUGGGUGCGCAAGAUGUCGUUUCCAUCGCUAAAGCGUUUGUGGCUUACUGAAUGCAACUUCCCUGAGGCGUAUCGUGUUUGUAUUUCUGCACCCAGUCUUGUUUCACUGUGUCUGCAUGACAGUGGAGGCAAGACUCCUUUGCUUGAAAGCAUGCCAUUGCUUGAUACAGUAUCCCUUGACCUUUCUGGUCGAUGCAAGGAUAAGUGUCGGGGUUCUGGUGGUGAUCCAAGCUGUGAAGGUUGUCAUGGUUAUCCUGCUGGGAGUUAUCGUAGUGUCCUUUUGAAUACUUUGUCUAAUGCUGUAAAUUUGGAGUUGAAAGAUCAACCUGAAGUGUACAUCUACAAAAGGGAUUUGGAAUGUUGCCCCAUAUUUGGCAGAUUGAAGACUCUUUUACUCGACAUGUGGUGCAGGGCUACUGAUCUGCAUGCACUAGUUCGCAUUCUGCAGCACACGCCAGUUCUUGAAAAGCUCACUCUCCAGCUUCGUAGCGACUGGAAUUUGUUAAGCGCUGCCCGAGGUGAAAGAAAACAUGUUCGAAUUGAGCAAUCAUUUUCAUGCGUGCAUCUUAAGGAAGUCAGCAUUGAAUGUGAAGAGAAACUAAGGGUCAAGGAUAAGGUCAACCAAAUUGUGAAGAUCAUGACUAGAAAUGGCGUACUUACUGAGAACAUCAGUUUCAAGAAGAUCCCAAGGCCAGAAGUCUAUCGUCUCGUGUGUGUAUCACCUAGGGCCUUUGAUCCCUACUGGUCCGGUGAAGACUAA